CCACGGAUAGCUCAGUUUGGUAGAGCGUCAGAUUUAGGGUCUGAUUGUCGAAGGUUCAAAUCCUUCUCCAUUUG
rnacentral:tRNA from 1 species